GGGUGGCCGAAGCUGUCCCAAGAUGAGUGAGGUAGAACCCUGGACACCGUGGACAUUGCUGUGGUUGUGGAGAAGAACCUGAACCAAGCCCUUCUGGGUCUUCAUACCCUGGUUCUGCCUGUGCAGACCCCUGUCUCUGUGACGUCCUGGAGAAUCACUUCACAGAUGAGGAGGUGAAACUCAGCAAGAAUUUGGGGAUCCACCUGACAGACUGGCUGCCGUUGGGCCGUUUAAACAGUGCUGGAGUGAUCCAUCCCUUAAAGGUUUGGUGGAACCUGAGGGGCCAACCUCAGCCUGCAGCUGGCACCUGAAAAGAAGGCCUCAGUGACUCAGAUGAUUGAUCCCAGCAGGGCAGUUUCCGUGGAGCCGACCAUAAGCCUCAGAGAUGCAGACUCCCACGUCCUUGGGGUGGGACUCUCCCUCCCUCCAUCCUGGAUCUUCUUGCUGGUCGAGCCUUCUUCCCAGCUCAGCAGAGCCAGGCCUGUCUCCAUGAAGAACCCGAGCCUGGAGCGGAGGAGACUCAUUGGUGUCAGCAGCAGUGCCAGGAGGCAACCCUCGGUCUCUCAGGUGAUGGGGCCUGGCCCCUCUCUGCUGAGUGUGGGACAGAGCACCACGGGCCUCCUGCAGAGCCUGGAGGAGGCUGGGAGCAUCUGAGCUGGUCACGGUCAGUGAUCUGACCAGUGCUGCCCCAGCCCCCUGGGCCAUGAUGUUCCCAACAUCUCCUGACUCAGAAACUGCUUUGAGACGCUCACAACCCACUUUGUGAGUGACCUUCCCAGAAGUGGAACUGAGCAGAAGCUCUCGAGAUCACAUUUGCCUCCUCACACUCACUCUAAUGAAACCCGACACUUAGUAGUGGGGAACAGGACUCAGAAAUGGGGACCCUAGGGCCGGUGGGCCAAAGGGAACAGAGACUGGACAGAUGCACCCAACAUUUCUCUUGCUGGACUCUGUCUUGCCUGACCCAGGGAAUGCCUGGAAUCCAGCAUCCUGACCCUGUCCCAGCCAUGAGCCCUGGGCAAAGGUGCAGGGACCAUGUUCUCUGCAGAGCCAAGCAUGCCCUGACUAGGUGCUCGGGCAAAUGUCUG
ensembl:lncRNA